AAAAAAAAAGGAAAAGAAAGUUCCAGGCCCUGAAUUCUGGUGUUCCUGGCAGCCAGGUCCGAGGUAGCAGUCCUCAGAAGGAUCUGGUUCAGGUUGGGGUCUGCGGUGGGACGGGAGGACAGGCCUCUUCAGCUGUGGUGAGUGUGACUCAGCCCGAGGAAGCAAGGGCUGCUCCUGGGAUGCCGGCCUCUGCGUCUCCCUGAGCACCUUCCUCCCCACCUCCUCACGGAGCUGGCACACGGGGCCCUGCAGCACCCUGCGGAUGGAUGGAGGAGCAAAGCAGUAAGAAGUGAGAAGACCAUCAUCUAGGAGGAAGAGCGUUCUCACCAGGGACUGAAUCUAUCAGCACCAUGAGCUUAGAUUUCCAGCCGCUUGAACUAUGAACUGCAUACUGCUAUACCCUGGGAACAAGAAGAGUCAGACCCAGCUAGCCUGGAGCAACUCAAUGAAUCAACAGCAGCAGCCAUGGCUCCUCUUCCAGGGCAGCCCAGGGCAGGCACUGCCAGUCGAUCCCAGCACCCUUUCCCUCAGACCCCGGACUCAGCCUCAAAAUUCGUCUCCAGCCAGGGGAUUUAGCUCAGUGGUUUCACCGCCUGCCGCGCAAGCGCAAGGACCCGAGUUCGAUUCCCAGUACCAAAAAUAAAAUAAAAUAAAACAAAGAUUCAUCUCUUCCCAG
rnacentral:lncRNA from 1 species